rnacentral:sRNA from 1 species
GUGUGGUUGCUCAGUAGGGAAAUGCUUACAGCUGCCUCUAGAAGCAAGUCCGCUCGCUGCAUGGAGAGGGAAACAUGAGCAUGCAGCAGGACUAGCUGUCACCUCCCGCCCGCCUGCCCAGAGAGGGCCAGAGCGUCAGGGAGGCAAGAUGAUCCACCAACGGUGCCAUCCUACACUUGGAGAGAAUGAAUAAUGGGGAAAGAAAUUGAAGAGAAAGUAACAGGCAAGGAGAUAUUUGCAGGAGGUAUCUCAUGGAGAGGGCGUCUUGGCCUGCUCCCCUCUGGGGCCACUAACUCACACCAGAGCUGACUCAACCAUUCCAGGGGAAGAUUGGUAAGAAGUUUAUUCACCAGACACGUCUAGCUGAAAUGAAUGAAAUCAAACUCAGCAGAAGUCAACACUUAGCAUGGAAGGCAAAGUAGAGACGAAGGGUCACCCGGCUGCUGCACACCGGCCUUUAGCUUUAGCUCAAGUUGUUCUGCUUUAAAGGACAAUGCCAAUCAUCUCAUAAAUAAAUGAAGACAAUGAUUCAACAGUGCUGUCAACUUUGAGAGAAAAGAGAAGCCAUCCCUACACCCAACACUUAAUAUAU